GAUGAACGCUAGCUACAGGCUUAACACAUGCAAGUCGAGGGGCAGCAUGGUCUUAGCUUGCUAAGGCCGAUGGCGACCGGCGCACGGGUGAGUAACGCGUAUCCAACCUUCCCCCUAGUAGGGGAUAGCCCGGCGAAAGUCGGAUUAAUACCCUAUGUUAUCCGUCGAUGACAUCAGAAGCGGAUCAAAGAUUGAUCGCUAGGGGAUGGGGAUGCGUCCGAUUAGGUAGUAGGCGGGGCAACGGCCCACCUAGCCUUCGAUCGGUAGGGGUUCUGAGAGGAAGGUCCCCCACAUUGGAACUGAGACACGGUCCAAACUCC
rnacentral:rRNA from 1 species